AAUCUGUGGUGCGGACACUUUUGGAUCAAUGUUUUAAAAUGCUCCCGCACCUCAUAAAAACUUUCCCUUCCAUCUGUAUUAAGAGAACAAUCUCUCUUCUUAGUCG
rfam:Gossypium hirsutum cultivar TM-1 chromosome 2, whole genome shotgun sequence